rnacentral:rRNA from 1 species
UACGGGGGGGGGUAAGCGUUGUUCGGAAUUACUGGGCGUAAAGGGCUCGUAGGCGGCCAACUAAGUCAGACGUGAAAUCCCUCGGCUUAACCGGGGGAACUGCGUCUGAUACUGGAUGGCUUGAGUUUGGGAGAGGGAUGCGGAAUUCCAGGUGUAGCGGUGAAAUGCGUAGAUAUCUGGAGGAACACCGGUGGCGAAGGCGACAUCCUGGACCAACACUGACGCUGAGGAGCGAAAGCCAGGGGAGCAAAGCGGG